GAGGGUGCUUUGGCGUCGGCAGCGGCCUAAGUUCCUUGGAACAGGGCGUCACAGAGGGUGAGAACCCCGUACGUGGCCGCCCGCCUUCGCCGUGUAAAGCCCCUUCGAC
rnacentral:rRNA from 1 species